CCUUCAUUGAUUCAAGGCAACGAUGAAUACUGUAAUUUUUAUAUUUUUUACAAAAUGGAACUACGGUUUUGCACGUACGACACCACAAAGAUCUUGAAAGUGCCACUUGAACGAAACUUCUAGUUAUUCCAACGAAACAAAUAGGAAUCAUACAUGGGACUACGAAGCAGUGAAAGGCAGUCGAAAGUAAGGAGUGAAGUGGAAUAAGCAAGGCGGUACUAUUUAUUGCCUAUUCGAUGAUAAACGACAGAAAAAAAAGGUAUCAUAUAACAGGGCGAAGCCGUUUUAAAAAAAGUAAUUUAUUCCUCUUCAACGAGUUUCAUUGCCAGACUUAUUUAAGUCCAAUCAUUCGAUAUGACUUGUGUAUGUUUUGUUACACGUAGUAAAAAAAAUUCGCAUACCCUAGGAAAAUGUUGCCUUCAGGGGAACGAAACGUUACAGAGUUUUAUAUCAAGAUUACAUUUCGUCUUGCAAUGGGAUAAUAUUUGUUAAAGAGAAUGGCGAACUUUUCUAUGUGCUGUCUCGACCAAGAACUCGGCUAUUAAUGGCAAUAACAGCCAAAGAAGAAGGGAAAAAGAAAAGUCUCAGGAUCAUUGGGAAUCCACUGGUUCCGUCAGUGUCACUUUCUCGACUUUUCAUUCGAUCAUUUUUUUCCGCCAGCGAAAUUGAAUGUACUUCCAAUAAACGUAUGUAUCUAUGUAUGUAUGUACGAGAUAUUUUUUUUUUAUUGUUAGAGUUAG